UACGUAGGGGGCAAGCGUUGUCCGGAAUCAUUGGGCGUAAAGAGCGUGUAGGCGGCCCGAUAAGUCCGCUGUGAAAGUCCAGGGCUCAACCCUGGGAUGCCGGUGGAUACUGUCGGGCUCGAGUCCGGAAGAGGAGUGUGGAAUUCCUGGUGUAGAGGUGAAAUUCGUAGAUAUCAGGAGGAACACCGGUGGCGAAGGCGGCGACCUGGACCGGUACUGACGCUGAGACGCGAAAGCGUGGGGAGCAAACAGG
rnacentral:rRNA from 1 species